rnacentral:lncRNA from 1 species
AAAUUUCAUUGACAAAGUUCGACGAUUACGACUUGGUGAAAGAGACGUUGUUGCAAUACAAGCGUAUUUUUCAAAGAUGCAAGCAACCAGUCCUGGUUUCUUCUUUAGUAUAGACUUGGAUGACGAGGCCCGGCUGAGGAACGUGUUUUGGGCAGAUAAUAGAUGCAGGCAAGCGUGUAAGGAAUUUGGAGACGUAGUUACGUUUGACACCACAUACUUGACAAACAAGUACGAAAUGCCUUUCGCCCCUUUUGUUGGGGUGAACCAUCAUGGACAAUCAACUCUACUUGGAUGUGGUUUGAUCUCAAAUGAAGAUACAAGGACUUUUGUAUGGCUAUUCAGGACAUGGCUUCAAUGUAUGCAUGAUCAAGCUCCAAGUGGAAUAAUUACAGAUCAAGAUCGUGCUAUGCAGAAUGCAAUUGAAAUUGUGUUUCCGAACACAAAGCAUAGAUGGUGCUUGUGACAUAUUUUAAAAAAGUUACCAGAACAAAGCUUCUAUUCUUGCUACUGUGCAUGGGUUGGUAUAUGAUGUGCAAAGUUGUGAGGAAUUUGAACAAGGUUGGAAUAACAUGCUCAAAGAUUAUGAACUACUAGAACAUACUUGGUUGACUGGUCUUUACAAUGAAAGAAGUCGAUGGGUUCCAUGCUUUUUGAAAACUUCAUUUUGGGCGGGUAUGUCAACCACACAACGAAGUGACGGUAUUAAUGCAUUUUUUGAUGGCUAUGUUCAUUCAAAAACAUCCCUCAAGCAAUUUGUGGAGCAAUAUGAGCGUGCAUUAAGAAGUAAAGUUGAAAAAGAGUUUCAAGCCGACUUCAAAUCAUUUUCACACAUGGUCCCAUGUGCGACCAAGUACGAAAUGGAGAAGCAAUUUCAAUCCGUUUACACAAUCGCGAAGUUCAAGGAGUUCCAAGAACAGUUCACCGGAAAGGUAUAUUGUGAAGUCUUAUCCGUUCAUGAUUCUUACUUGUAUACUAUAUACGAUGUACGUGAGGAUAUCAUUAUCAACGAAUGUAUGAGGACAAAAAUGUUUAAAGUGUGCUUUCCUAGAGAUGAAUGUGAUUUCGAAUGUAGUUGUCAUUUAUUUGAGUUUCGAGGAAUUAUUUGUAAGCAUGCGAUUGCAGUUUUGAUACGAAAUCAAGUGAAAUUAGUUCCCGAUAAGUACAUUUUGAAGAGAUGGAGGAGGGAUGUAAACAGACCGUACAUGAGGGUUUCGAUCAAUUACCAUGGUUGGAUUAGUACUCCAGACCAAGUUAGAUAUGAGCAAAUGUGCAAUGCUUUUACGAAAUUAGCUGACUUGGUAGCACAUGACGAGUCACGAUCACAUGAAAUUAUGGACUGGAUUGAAUUCCAAACAGCGGAGUCGUCAAUGUUGAAGUCUAUGACUGUGGGCUUCCAAAGCUUUGAUGAAGCAGGAAAAAUUGUUGGCGAAAUCAUCUUGGACCCGAAACACACGAAAAGUAAGGGAGCUCCUAAGAAACUUCGCCGAAAAGGAUAUCUAGAAGUUGGUUCUAAAAAAUCAAGAACUGGUCAUAAGGUAUGAUUUUUAGCCAAUUUAUUAUUAUUAUUAUUAUUAUUAUUAUUAUUAUUAUUAUUAUUAUAUAAUCGCUGCACAUUGAAACUGGUAGUUUUUUUCCCUGGCACAUAGGUGGCCACGAACUCAAGUACAUCAAAAAGGCAGAAAGGCAAAGUUUCACCCCCCAUCAAUGUUCAGGUAUUUGAGUGUGACAAAAUAUGAGCCAACUUCAUUGAGUUUUCAUGCAAAAUCUUUGAACGUGACUUUAUCAAUUCCAUUUGUCAGGAUAUUCGGCUAACAAUCACUUUCCCUUCCCAUCAAGUCGGCACACAGGAGAGCGUUGGCGAAUUUGAUUUAGGGGUCUAAAGCAUCCACAGAUAUUUGGCUAUAGAUUUUUGUAAACAAUUAACUGACAUGCUCCACUUGGG